rnacentral:rRNA from 1 species
GAUGAACGCUGCGGCGUGCCUAAUACAUGCAAGUCGAGCGAACAGACGAGGAGCUUGCUCCUCUGACGUUAGCGGCGGACGGGUGAGUAACACGUGGAUAACCUACCUAUAAGACUGGGAUAACUUCGGGAAACCGGAGCUAAUACCGGAUAAUAUAUUGAACCGCAUGGAUCAAUAGUGAAAGACGGUUUUGCUGUCACUUAUAGAUGGAUCCGCGCCGCAUUAGCUAGUUGGUAAGGUAACGGCUUACCAAGGCAACGAUGCGUAGCCGACCUGAGAGGGUGAUCGGCCACACUGGAACUGAGACACGGUCCAGACUCCUACGGGAGGCAGCAGUAGGGAAUCUUCCGCAAUGGGCGAAAGCUUGACGGAGCAACGCCGCGUGAGUGAUGAAGGUCUUCGGAUCGUAAAACUCUGUUAUUAGGGAAGAACAAAUGUGUAAGUAACUAUGCACGUCUUGACGGUACCUAAUCAGAAAGCCACGGCUAACUACGUG